GGGCCCGUAGCAUAGCUUGGAUGCAACAAGGCCAAAAAGCGCGUCGGCCCUCUAAGCCGAAGACCCUGGGUUCAAAUCCCAGCGGGCCCGCCA
rnacentral:tRNA from 1 species